GGGUUUUUAGUUUUACAGCCGUCUCUCUCUCUGCUCUGGUGCACGGGCCAUCUCAUCUCUCCAUCCUCCACCUUCAAGUUCAAGGUCUCUCUCUAUUCCAAAAAUAACCGGUACUCUCUCUCGCCCUCCGUUAAAUCCCCAAGAAAGAUGCCCUCUCUCUUCCAAAGUCCUGUUGCUCUGCCAUAAAUUUAGGGUUUUCCAUAGAACAACAACCCUAUAAUACCAAAUAAGGGCAAGCAUCUCUACUGGUAUUUUUAUGCUUCGUUAUCUUUGAUUGUUGAUUUUCUGUUAAUUCGAUGUGUUAUUUCCAUGGUGCUAGGAUUUUUCUGGAUACUUUUGUGCUGUUAUGAAUAAUUGCUUGGUUAUGAAUUUUUUGUUUUUGACUAUUUCUUUGAAAACUGAAAGCAUAUAAAAGUUUGAUAUUCAUAUUUCAUUUAGUAUGUUUUUUCCUUUUUGGUUUAUUUUUAGGAUAGAAGUUUCUUUUUUGUCUGCAAGUAGUUCUGGUGAGUUGCUUCCGUGCAAGAAUACAGGCUCGAUUUGGUUCCCAUUAAUUUAUUUUUGGGUAUCUUGCAUUCCAAGAAAAUAGAGGAAUGGUUAAGUGGUAACAAAUAUUUUUAUUUCUAGUUUUAAUUUAUAAACUUAUAUUUCUAUUAAAAAAAAAAAACCCGAAGUCUUCCCCCGAAUUGGAUUGCUUCAUUCUUCAUGCCAAACCAGAGCAGACUCCUUAGCGAAUCUAACAACAUUGACUUAAACCAUAUCUUCCACCCCCAUAUCUGUCAUCGACCUCCAUUUCCUCAUAAAACUCCUCAUCCCCACCCAUCUACUCCCCUGCAUGUGGCCUAACUUCUUGAGGACCUUCCUCUGAGUAGUAUAAUCUCAAUGUUUCUAAUGCUUCCCUUCCCCAAUUAGAUCCUAAUUCUUUAAAGUGUAACCUUCAUGCACAACUAUCCUUACAACUAAAUCAAUAUGAGAAUAAAACCGUGGGAGUUCUAAAAUUAGUCAUACCAUUCUAUCAUUAUUGUGAUAACAUCGAGGCGUGAAUGUUGAGGGACAGGGUCUAUAACCCUAUAUGGGUUAUGGAUUAGGGGCCUAGUCCUUGGUGUGUACCACUCCAUGCAUUUUUGUGUCGGCUUCCCAUUAAACAUAUCAUCUUCUGCCUCACAUAUAUAAUCUAGCCUGCUAUGCCACAUCUCUAUCUAACCUCAAAAUACGUCUCCUCAUUCUCAAGCCUCCUCCCCUUUCUCUCCCUUCUCUUCCACUUCAAUGGAUAUGUCGGUAUCCCUUGAUAGAGUCCAAACGACCACAACACACGAUCUGACAUGUACCCCUCACAAAUGUAUCCACAUAUGAGGAACAUGCGACACAAAGCAGUAUCCUGAACUUAAAGGGCAUAUGCUCUGUCCUCCUGGGAUUCUAUUCCUAAGUCAGGAAAAUCAUCAUAUGUGGUCCAUAUGACCUAUCACAAAAAAAGAAAAAAAAAUAAGGUAAAUAACCUGCAACAAAAAUAAUUGAAAUUUAAAUAAACAUGAUCAGUGAAAACUUUUCUAUACUAACAUCAUUAUCCAUGCACCAUCGGUUUCUUGACGCCACACAAGACGGAAGUUGUAAGUGUUAUCCCAUACUCUAGGAGGGGCCCACCUGAGGGAUCUAGGGAACCCUGCAUAGAUGUCUUUGGGCUUUGAGCAUAACCAUUUGAAGUGCUUGUACUCCAAGCACUGGAAUGCAUGCAUAAAAAAAAAGUAUUACAGACCAAAUAUUUGUCAAAACCUUUAAAUAUCUAUCAAAAUAUUUAAAUAAUAGCAUUACCAUCAAUAGAGUGGCUGAUCCACUUAAGUGUUGGUGAUAAGGACAAAUAAUCUUUGACAAGGAUUGGACCAAAUAAGCUAGGGCAGCUGCAAAUAUAAAAUAGACACCGUACUGUCUGUGGAAUCCACAAAGAUUGUAAAGCUGAUAGGUACAAGAGGUAGGCACAGAUGUGUCAUAACAAGGCCUGCCAGUUACAGUUGUGUGGAAGCAGACUAAAUUUCUUCCUCAACCAUGUCAGUCGAAUAACAGAAUAAUUAGUAUCUUCUGGCAGCUCUCCUAGCAUCUAGAUUAUAAAUUUCUUGUAGUUGUCCACUCUCCUAAAAGUUAUAGGUACACCUGUCACCCUUAACCAAAUAAUGCUCCAUGCAUCUUCAAGAGUAGGCAAUAUAUCUUCAACAUUUAUAUUGAAGUGCCCAUUGUUUGUCUCUGCACGCCACCUCUCGACAAUAAUGGCCAAUGUGCCAUGGUUGUGGUGAGACAUAACAACCAUGGUUAGAGGAUACAACCCUAAUCCCAUGUCCAAGUCAAUUUGAGCAAUGUUAGAUAAGAACCAUAAACUUACAGCACUGACCUUCUCAUCAAUCCUGAGGGCCUUAACCCGUUCUUGAAAUAGAUUUAUGUGAUUAUAUUGAAGUGCCGUUGUUUGUCUUUGCACGCCAUCUCUUGGCUCUCAAGGCUAGGUUCCCCUCAUGACGUUAAUGCCGGAUUUUGGGGGUUUUAAGACAAAAUUAUUGGUUUCUUGGGCUUCCCCGGUCUGUUGUGUGACAAGCAAGCGAAAAGAAAGUGACAAGUAAGGAAACACAAAAGAAAGAAAGUGUGAGCACUUGGCAAAUCGUGCCAAGUGAUGUGUGCUUCGAGUCAGAGUUUAAUCGACCGAGAGGACAAUUGAGGUGUAGGGGUGAGCAACUCCUAAGAAGGUAUACAAUUAAUAAAAGUGGAAUUGGGCACAGCUCGUGCCUAGUUGAGCGCACCCCAAGUCGAGGGUGACACGAUCAGGGCAGAAUUAGAGAGAGUGUAGGUGACCCUCGAAAGUUUUUCCUCUUCUUUUUUUUUUUUUCUUUGAUGAACAGAGAGAAGCGGCAAAUAUUGAAUCACAAGCACAAAAAUGAAUGGAGAUUUUUUAUUUUUUUACAAAGUAUUUUUAUUUUUAUUUUUAAAGUAUUUUUAUUUUUAUUUUAAAAGUAUUUUUAUUUUAAAAGUAUUUUUAUUUUAAUUUUAAAAGUAUUUUUAUUUUUAUUUUUUUAAAAAGAAGAUACCUUAAAGGUGAAUUUUUUUUUAAAGUGAAGAUUCUUUUUUUUCUAUUCUUUUAUUUAUUUUUUUCGAAAAUGAAAUGACUUGCAAAAAGAAACUUUUGUAGCAAAAGUAAAUUUUUUUUUUAAACCAAAUAAACUUUAAAAGUUGUUUUCUUUAUCUUGCAAAUCAAAAUUUAUUUUCUCAUAAAUGAGAAAGGCUUUAAAUUUUUGUUUUUUGAAAGAAAGAUUGCCUUUAAAAGAUUUUUUUUUAUUUUUUGGGCGAAGAUGCCUAAAAAAUUUGUUGAUUCUUUUUUUGCGAAGUGAUUUUUUUGUUUUAAAAUAAAAAUGGUUAAAGAUAUAUUUUUUUAUUGGAUAAGAAAGAUGGCCUCAAACACUCAUUUCUUUUUUGUGUUUGGAGAGAGAAUGGCCUUACACAAAUGAAAACAACUUUUUCACAACAACUGACCUUUUUUUUUGGCAAAAGUGAUUUGUUUUUUUCGUUUGAAGCAAAUAGAUUUUUUUUUUUUGCGAUGGCAAAACCUAAAAAGAAGAAGUGAUUUUCCUGAAUUUUUAUUUUUAACUAAGAAAGAAGGAACAUAGAACAAAUAAAGGGCAAACAAAUUUUUUUUUUGGAAAGCAAAUUGGCCACAAACGUGUUUUUUUUUUCAAUUCAAGUGCUAAAUUAUAAGAGAAGAAAUUAAUCUUUUUUUUUUAAUGCAAAAAUGGCUUAGAAUGAAAAUUUUCUUUUGAAGGAAAAUAGACUCCUUUUUUUUUUUUUAAGAAAGACUUCUUAAAAAAGAAAUCUUGUUUUUUUUGCAAAAGAACAAAUUUAUUUAUUUUAUUUUUUUUGAAAAUGAGAAGGCCUCAAUUAUUAUUAUUUUUUUCUCUUUUAAAGGAAAUUCGUUUUUCUUUUUUUUUGAAGGAGAAGAGGCCGUUUUUUUUUUUUUCGUGGAAGAAGUGCGUUUUUUUUUUUUUAAACUAAUAGAAGGGCCUCUUUUUAGGAAAGAAGAGAAAGAAAAUCACUGGAACCCUUAUCCCUUUAGCAAGAUAAUAACAAGUUAACAACUUUUUGAUGGAAAGAAACAAAAAGGUGUGAUGGCCAUGAGCAAGAGAUCAACUUCCUCUUUUUAGGAAGAGAAAGAAAAAUGACCAGAAUCUUAUCCCUUUGGCAAAAUAAUAACAAGUAACAAAAAUUUUUAUCGAAUGAAACAGAGAGGUGUCAUGGCCAUGAACAAAAGAUCAACACAAGAAAGAAUCUUGUGUUCCCUACCUUUCUUUUCUUUUGAAUUAAGACUAAACACCAGGAAGCACAAAAAGAAAAAAACAAGAGCUAGGAAGCAAAAAAAAAAGAGACGGUAAGGUGAGAUGACAGGAUUGCAAUGACCUUAGAGACAUGAAAGAAAAGAAAAAGCAGAAGUGGCAAGAACUAGGGAAGAUUUCUUUGUUUUUUCUGAAAACCAAUCUUUAAUCUAAAACAAGUUUGUUUUAACGAUUUCACAACAAAUAUCACUAAAAAAACAUCCCUCUCUUUCUCUCGCUCUUUCUCUCUCUCUCGCAAAAAAUAUUAAGUGAGAUGAAGAUAGAGAAACAUGAGGUUUGGAAAUUUCCAGCCAAUAACAAUAAUAUAUAAGACCACUUGAAACUCCAGCGAAGUAAUAGGAAUGGAAAGACCAAAACAUAGAAGCAAGUUAGAGUAGGUAGAGAAAAAACAUGAACAAGGUGUUAUGUCUAGGGGUCUUCGAGUGCCCCUUUUUUUUUUUGAAUUAAUUUUUCUUCUUUUCAAAACUUGCUCCUCAAAAGAAGAUCUAGGUAUGUUUUUAUUUUUAUUUUUUCAAUUUUUUUUUGUGCACAGAUCUAGCUUGAAAUGCCCCAUGGUGGGCGCGUCAAACUGUUUACGAUGCAAAUCGGAGAGAUCUUCAAAGGAAGAUCCCUCAAAUCUGUACCACAAACUAAUUUUAAAAAGUGAUAAAGAGUGGGGAAAAUCAAAUUUUGGUAUGAUGCCAGAUUUAUUAAAAAACGAAUAAAUCCGCUCUUAGAUCAGUGGCAAAGCCAACAUCGAUCCAAAAAGCACAAAAGAUUGAAGAAAAAUAAAUAAAAUCAUAAAUUUAACAAAAUAAACGAAAAAUAAAGAAAAAAUGAUGGAAAAUACUUGGCCGGGCCCAUUGGCCAGGGGCACUCGAGGCCUCGCCUGUAUUAGAACCACAGUUGUGUACAUAUGUCCUUUGUUGUUUUCUCUUCAAACUUGACCAAAUAUUGGCUUGGUUGAAUUAGAGUUUUGAUGAUCUAGGCUAAAAGCUGGUUUCAAAAGAGGGAUUAAGGCAUAAGGUUGUUUCUUUAGAUCUAAGGUAAUGCUCACAGGUUUUCUCUCUGGGCUCUCUCUAUCUCUCAUAUAAAUGCUCACAGGUUUUCUCUCUGGGCUCUCUCUAUCUCUGGGUUAAUAAAGUCCAACCCUAAAUGGGUCACAAAAUGGGCUUAUAUAAAUGCUCAAAUCGUACCAGAAUGGAUACAUAUCAAUUUUAAACAGAUUUGCCCCCCAAAUUUCUAUUUGGGCGUAAAAAGAAGCCCAAAUCUGACCAGAAUUAGCAAUUUCAGAUUUUAGGUGAUUCAUGCGUUUUUGUUAUAUUGCCUACAGAAAUUAAGGUAAAAGUAAGCUGUUUUGCUAUUUUUACUUGAUUUAUUACUAAAGCAAUGGUAUUGUAGGAUUCUGGAUAACAGGAUAAGAAUCACGGACUAUGAUGGUUUAUAAUCAGGGGUUUUUUGGAAUAAUGUGGUCUUAAGGGUUGAAUAAUAUCACAGAAUUUGCCAGUUUUAAAAAUGGAGGUUUACAGGUUCCCCUCUUUGGCACUCACCUGCCCCUUGAAGAACAAGGAGCGCCGAAGAGUGUCUACUUCUUUGUCACUCACCUGUCCCUUGAAGGACAGGGAGCCCUAAAGAGGGGCAACUGUAGACCCCCAUUUUUAAAACUGACAAAUUUUGUGAUAUUUUUCAACCUUAGAACCACAUUAUUUCAGAAAACCCCCAAACCAUAGACCAUCAUAGUCCAUAAUCUUUAUCAUGUGAUUCAAAAUCUUGUAGGAUUACUGUUUUAGUACUAAAUCAAGUAAAAAUAGCAAAACAACUUAUUUUUACUUGAUUUUUGGUAGGCAAUAUCACAAAAUCGCGUGAAUCACCCAGAAUCCGAAACUGCUAAUUCUAAUAAGAUUUGGGUUCCUUUUGACCCCCAAAAUAGAAAUUUGGUUGGAAGAUUUGCUUGAAAUUGAUAUUUAUCCAUUUUGGUAUGAUUUGAGCCUUUAUAUAAGCAAAUUUUGUGACCCAUUUAGGGUUGGACUUUGUUAACCCGUAGGCUAGGAAAUAUGAAAGAUAGAGAGAGCUCAGAGAGAAAACCUGUGAACAAACACCCUAGAUUUAGAGAAGCAACCUUAUGCCUUAGUCCUCCCCUUUUUGAAACCAACUUUUAGCCUAGAUUAGCAAAACUCUAGUUCAACCAAGCGAAUGUUUGGUCAAGUUUGAAGAGAGAACAACAGAAGACUUACAUAAUUAGCCGUGGUUCUGAUACGGGCGAGGCCUCGAAGCCUCGGGUGCCCCUGGCCCGGCCAGGUAUUUUCCUCAUCAUCUCUUUUUUCUUUUUCUUAUUUUUCAUUUAUUUUGUUAGAUUUAUGAUUUUAUUAAUUUUUAUUCAAUCUUUCAUGCUUUUUGGAACGAUGCUAGUUCUGCCAUUGAUCGGAGAGCAGAUCUAUUCGUUUUUUAAUUAAUCUGAUCUCAUAUUAGAAUUUGAUUUUCCUCACUUUCUAUCACUUUUUAAAAUCAGUUUGUGGUACGGAUAUGAGGGAUCUUCCUCUCUGAUUUGCAUCGUAAACAGUUUGGCACCCAUCCUAGGGCAUUUCGAGCUAGAUCUGUACACGAAAAAAAUAAAAAUAUACUCAAAUCUUCUUUUGAGGAGUAAGUUUUGAAAAGAAAAAAAAUUAAUUCAAAAAAGAAAUGGCCACUCAAAAACCCCUAGACAAAACACCUAGUUCGUAUUUUCUUUCUACCUACUCCAACUUACUUAUAGGUUUUGGUCUUUUCGUUCCUAUUAAUUUGCUUGUGUUUCAAGCGGUCUUAUAUCCUUCUAUUAGUUAAAAAAAACAGCGCACUUCUUCUACGAAAAAAGUCUUAAAAAAUAGAAUAAGGCCUCUUCUUCUUUAAAAAAAGUAAAAUGAAUUUCCUUUAAAAGUGAAACAAAAUUUUUUUUUUGGCCUUUUCAUUUUAAAAAAACAAAAUAAAAUAAAUAAAUUUGUUUUUUUUAAAAAAAAAUUUUAUUUUUAAGAAGUCUCUUUCUUUCAAAAAAAAAAAAAUUUCUAUUUUCCUUCAAAAUAAAAUUUCAUUCUAAGGCAUUUUUGCAUUAAGAAAAAAAGGAUUAAUCUCUUCUCUUGUAAUUAGCACUUGAAUUAAAAAAAAAAAACUUUUGAGGCAAUUUUGCUUUUCAAAAAAAGAAAUUUGUUUGGCCUUUAGUUGUUCUAUUUUCCUUCUUUUCUUAGUUAAAAAAAUCCAGGAAAAUCUCCUUUUUUUUAUGCCUUUGCCAUCUCCAAAAAAAAAAAAAAACGAGGAAAACUUCAAAAAAAAAAAAAAAAAUCACUUUUUCAAAAAAAAAAAAGGUUAGUAGUUGUGAAAAAGUUGUUUUUAUUUUUGAAAGGGCAUUCUCUCCCCUAAUGCAAAAAAAAAAGAAGAAAAAGUGAGUGUUUGAGGCCAUCUUUCUUAUCCACUAAAAAAAAAAAUAUAUCGUUUGCAAUUUUUAUUUAAAAAAAAUCAUUUUUCUAAGAAAAAAAAUCAGCGGCCUUUUUUGAUCUUUGUCUAAAAAAAAAAAAAAAAAAAUCUUUUAAUCUUGCUUUAUAAAAAAACAAAAUUUAAGGCCUUUCUCAUUUUUAAAAAAAGAAAAUUGGCUAUGAAAGAAAAAAAAAAAAAAACAACUUUUAAAGCUUAGUUGGUUUAAAAAAAAAAAAAAAUCAUUUUCUUCAAAAGUUUAUUUUUGUAAGUCAUUUCAUUUUCACAAAAAAAUAAAAAAAUUGAAAAAAGAGUUUUCACUUAAAAAAAAUAGAAAUACUUUGUAAAAAAAAAUCUCUUUUCAUUUCUUUGCUUGUGAUUCAAUAUUUGCCGUUUCUCUCUAUUCUUCAAAAAAAAAAAAAAGAAGAAGAAGAGGAGAAACUUUCGAGGGUCACCUACACUCUCUCUCUAAUUGUACUCUGAUCGAGUCAGCCUCGACUUGGGGCAUGCUCAACUAGGCACGCGUUGUAUCUGGUUCCGCUUUUAUUAACUGUAUACCUUCUUAGGGGUUGUUCACCCCUAUAUCUCAACUAUGCUUUUGGUCGGUUGAACUCCGACUCGAAGCACACAACACUUGGCACGAUCGGCCAAGUGCUCACACUUUCUUUCUUGUGUGUUUGUUUGCUUGCCACUUUCUUUUCACUUGUGUGGUUCUUUACACACUUCUUGCACACAACGGAUCGGGGAAGCUCGAGAAACCAACAAAUAUUUUUAAAACCCCCAAAUCGGGCAUUAACGUUGUGAGAGGAACCUAGCCUUGAGAGCCGAGGCGGUAGGAUUCGCGUAACUUUAACUAUGAACGCCCCUCCGUAAUCCUUAGCCUCAAAGCCACUCUACACAUAAUAGGACUUGGUUGAUUCUUUUAACAGGUGCCAGGACCUACUCAGCCUAGCCGCAUUUCAAUAGUUAGGAGCCCAAUCAGACCUAGCCUAGCCAUAAAUUUAGGGCAAAGUUUUCUAGUGCUUAUCAAGGUUGAUUAGUCUUAGAUCUCAGUCCGGGUCCACACCCGAUUCGGAUUUUAAAUCUUCUGGGUCUUAAGUGCAGGCUUGUACCUAGCCUAGCCUAGGUCCAAACUAGGUUAAUGCCUAGGUCCGAACCUAGGCCCCUUUUUGGUCCAAGCCAAGGCUCGUGCCUAACCCAACCUUGAUCCAGUUCGGGUCUUCACCUGGUCUGAUAACCAAUCCUUCUAAGUCCAAGUCUAGGCUUAUGCCCAGCCUAGCCCAAGUUGGAACUAGGUUCAUUCCCAGGUCCCAUCCUAGGCCCCCUCUCGGUCCGAGCCAAGACUCGUACCCAUCCUAGGUCUUAGUCUAGGUCAUAGCCUAGGUCUAAGUAUAGAGUUGCAUCUAGAACUGGACUAGGUUCAUCUUAGCUCAAGGUUCAAACUGAAAUCCACAGAGUCUAGCAAGAUCUAUCCAGUCUAGUCCUAGAUUGUAUCUAGAUUCAGAGUUGUCCUUAGACGUAGACUAAGUCCAAACAAGGUUCACCCUCGGUCUAGGCCUCAGUUUAACCUGUUUUCAGUCUAGGUUUAGCCAAGUUCGAGUCUUAGUCCAACUAGGUCCAUUGAGGGCUCAAGCAAAGCGUAGUCUAGGUCCAUGUCUAAGCCAAGUCUAACCUUCUAGCUUAGCACAAGUUUAGGAGUCAUUGCCUUGGAUCAAACCAGAAUAAGGUCCAACUCUGCGGCUCCAGCCUAGUCUAGAUCCAGGGGACCUAGUCAGUCUGAGAGGCACUGUCAUAGUGCUACCUCACAGAUCCAUAGUACUCGUAUCAGUGAGCCGAGUCUCAACCUACAUGGAACCAUACCCAGUGGUCUGAGCCGCCCAAUUGGUAAUCCUUUGGGCCAUGAUUUAGAAGCCGUGGGCCAACAUGUUAGUAGGGUCCGUAACACCCUAAACAGUCGAGGAGUUAGGCCUGGGGCAAUCCUCUAGUACAUGGGGGUUAGCCUUACAUCUAGUCAACAUGCCAAGAGUAAGGCUCCGGCCCAGAUCGCUAGGUCAACCAAUCCCAGUCGGGUUAACCUCGGUGUUCAGGGGGCAAGUGGGUUCACACAUAGUUAGAGAAAGUCUACCCAAGCAACCCAACACCAGUAAAAGUCAGAGUUUUGACCUAACCAGGUAUCAAGAUAAUCCUAGGGUGCAUGCAUACUUUUAAGAACUGUUGAGCCGAGGGUGCACCAUCCAGUGUAGUCAAUCCAAGCAGGUUAGGUGAGAAGGCAUGCCCAACCUGUUGGCUCAAACCAGGAUAACCCUAGGGUGCUAGCUUGCCAAUCCAAUCGACUAGGGGCUAGGGGUCUAACUCUAGUCAUCACUCGAGCCCAGGUCUACCUAGGGGGCAGACUCCAUCUGGCAAUAACUAGGGACUCCCUUCACUCUUCCGGUCUAGUGUUGCAACAAGAGAAUAUCUCAACCCUAGGGUAUGAUCAUCCAGUCAAGGUCAGGGACAGAUGGACCUCACUACCCAAGGUCAGGGACAGAUGGACCUCACUGCCCAAGGUCAGACGUAUAGUCAUCGUAGCAGCUUGAGUUGUCCAUCCUAGUCAAGUGGUGUUCCUAUCCUGCAGGCCUUCUUGGAUGGUCACGUACUUCAAACUCUGAGAGAUGGGUUUGCUCUGACCCUAUUCCACUCGGGUGAGUUUAUAGGCCGACAACCAGCAUACCAAGUUCAACACACUCCUCAGGUUCAAUCCUUGGGGCAACUUUCUACAUGGGCUCAACAAUCAAUCUAUACAAGCCACAUACCACAAAUCCAGGUUCAACAGACCAUGAAACUGAGUCAGGUCACCGUUAUACCAACGACCCAAUUCAUCAACAUGAAAUGCCUUUAAGACUCUGUUGAGAGAAUGGGAAUGUGAGAUUUCUCAACUGCUAAAUCCUACGUACAAGAGACUCUAGGACACCUAGAAGAUCUACCAGUCGGGUUUGUGAGGCCACAAUUCAGAAACAAGUUUUCUAGGAAAGAGGACCUUGAGGCACACAUCAAACCCUAACUGUUAAAAGCCCAAACAUUCCGAGACCUACCCAACCAACUUAAGGUCAUGUUAUCUUGUAGCCUAUCAGAAGAGCCCUUGAUGUAGUAUUGAAAAUUCAUGAAGGAUAACCCUCAAGCAACUCCCGAUGAAAUGUUCAGGCAAUUUUCUUCCCGUUAUUAUGGGGAAAGACCAAGACCUGUCACCAUUGGUGAGUUAACAUCCAUCAAGCAAAAAGUCAGGCGAGUCUCCUUCUAACUUUAUAACAAGAUUCAGAGAGGCUGUUAUACGAGUCGCUGAAACUCCACUCCCUAAAUCUGUGAAGGUAGGCGUGGCAUUAGAGAACAUAACCCCUGAAUAUGUCACCUUCUUCAGUAAGGUGGUGAUCCCUUAAUCGUUUGACGUUAUGCUUGAAAGAGUAUCGCGAUAUGAGGAAGCCAAGGAUCAUGAGGCCAAAGUUUUUCAUAGCCUGAUGAUAGUCGACCCUCCACAAGAAGGAGAAGGGAAUGAGGACUUGACUAGUGAGGAACCCUCUCAAGAAGGAGAUGUGAACUUGAUCAAGGUGAACUUGAUCGAAAAAAGCGCCCCUUCUGCAAACCAUCAACGAGAAGAGACUAACACUGACUCAACCACAUGAAGAAUGCAGACUUUCAUGACAAGGGAAUUCACUACCAUUGAUGAUCCUUUAACCCAAUCAUCCCAAGUGAAUGCAAUAAAAGAUGAUCGACACAUGUGGGAUGUUGAAUUAGACUCACAAGGGAUCUAAGACGAACCUGAGCAUAAGCUGAGUCAACACUCCAAAACUAGUGAUUCUUGGAAUCAUAGAGGCAAGGCUAGUUCGAGGAUAGUUUUUCAAGAGGAAAGAAAACAACAACUUUUGGAAGAAAACUUAUCACCCCGAGAACCAGAACCACUAAGAAAGAUGACAUUCUAAAGGGUCUUAGGGGGCCUCUCGCACAACCUUCGCAAGAUUUCUUGAAUGAUCCACCAAUCUGGAAUGAAAACUGGAUAUUGAAAAUCCAACCAUGUUACCGCCUCAAUAGGCAGGCUCUCUAAGAGUCAUUAAGGACAUGAGCACAAUUCUGAUAACCGGGGCGCACCAUAUCAGGAAAGUUCAUCUCGUGAAGAACAAGUUUCUAACGGAAUAGAAAGCCCUGCAGGGGCAACCCUAUCAAACUACUUAAUAGGGGCAAUCUUCUCUCAUGAAGAUGGCGCAACAUGGACAGUUAAUGAGAUUGAGCCCUUGUUUGUUAACUCCCAACGUACCAUAAGGUCAUCCAAUGUCAACUCAGUCACUCUUUUCAUGCGAGAGUCUCGCCCGAGCUGAAGCAUUGAGAAGGAGCCUACUACGGAAUUAACUCUUGAAAAGAAACACAAAAUUUGGAAUGAAAGAGGCAAUCGAAAAGGAGUUAGGUAAUCACUCACCACUUGCAAGAAAUCAAAUGAGGCAUUCACGCCUCAAACUUCAGAAGGCAUUAACGCCUAAUGAGUAACAUAAAUUAUCUCAUUAAUGGGGAAAACCUAAUGAGCUUGCCCUUCCAUGCAAAAGAUUGAGGGAUUAUGAUACUAAGAGUGAUUCUUAGUCCCAAAAUCAAGAGUCGAGUGGGGCAAUUCAAAGGAUAAAUCCAAUGGGAACUCGACGACCAUUGUCAGAGAUAUUGGAUGCCAACUUAGGGUAAGGGAAAUCAGAGGAUGACUGAUAUUAGAACUUCUCUGCCACUUGGAUAAGGGAAAUAUAAUCAAAUUCUUACAUAGUCUUAAAACUAAAUGCCAAAAAAAAGAAGGAAAAAGCACCAUUGAUUCUUCUACUUCUCAUUCGUCAUGUUCUUCAAAAAUAAAGAAAAAGUUAUGCUAGGCUGAAGAUCCGAAAGGAACCCCAAGCGUUGGAAAAAAGGCAACCGGGCUUAACAUCCAAAAGGGACCUCGGGGCGAUGAAAUAAAAAAAAAAAAGAAACUGUUGGGCUUAAGAUAUGAAAAGAAUCCCAAGCGUUUGGAAAAUGCUAUCGGGUUGAACACUAGAAAGGGACCCCGGGGUCGAUGAAAAAGUUCUUUAAUUUCCUUCUAUUCUCCAAAGUCUUUUCUCUCUAAGCAUCUUCUCUUCCUUCUUCUUAAGUCAGAAUGGUGUCAAAAGAAAAACCAAUGAACAUUAGCCUGAUGGAACAUCGUUAAGGGCUUUGAUCAUCUAGACUUCAAAAGGUGAAUGGUGGAGGAACGAAAUCGGAAAUCCAAAGAGAUUUUGAACACCCAGGGGCAGUAUCUUGUAUUUUCAAAAGUAUGUUUUGCUUGAAAACUCCUGAGAACUCUCCUUGGAAUUGAAAUACAAGAGCUGAGGUUAUAUAGGGUCAUAUAACCUAUAGGGUCCACCAAAAGGGUCCACUAAAGGGGUCACAAGUGGUUAAACUGUAAGAACCACAUUUAAAAAAAAAAGAAAAAAGCUUCUUGGUGGCACAAGCCUAAACUGCUAAUCAAAAGAAAAAUCUUUCAUUUCAAACUGUCAACCACAUUUCAGUUCAAAAUGUUUAGCCUAGUGUUUUAAAAUGCGGCUGCAUCAUGCGGGAUGCGCUCGCAUCUGCAUUAGAAACAGGCGCAUAUACGCUUUUGACAGAUGUUGUUGCAUAUGCGUCGCAUUAGGCCGCAUCGUAGCCGCAUCCCGCAUAGGUCGCAUUGCACCGCAUCCCAUUGCUACAGUGUCCGCCGAAAUUUUUUUCUGUUUUGCCCCUUAAGGAGGGGCAAAAUGGCCUUUUUGACGAUCCAAAUGUUAAGGAAACUGUUUGGGGGGUAUUAGGGGCCCUAAACGAAGAUUUUCAACCAAUUUUGUGGCUUUUUUUGCAUCAAAUCGAGGUAAAAAAAAUUUAGGCGGAAUUUUUUUUUUCAUCGAAAUCUUCGAUUUGGCGGUUGUUUGAUACUUGGAUGUUCAUUGGAUGCCUUUGAUUGUUGAUUUGGAGAUGUUAGGGUGAAUUUGUGAUAAGAAAUCGGGGUUUCAGAGGUUGUGAAGAAAUCUAGCAGUGCUUCACAGAGUCGGUAAAUUUUUUUUCCUUCUUGUACAAUAUUUUAUACAUAUUUUUGGGGCAAUGUCUUCUUCCCAAUCUUCUAGUAAUAAGGAUCCGGCUUGAAAAUAUGCUAAACUAAAAAAUCCCGAAGAUAGAAAUUGUGUGAUAUGAAAUACUUAUAUGGGUGGAUAACUGGGUACAAAAUCUCCGACAGCUAAUAGUUUUGAAGUUAAUCCUUAGACUAAAAUGCCUACUAUCACAUAUAUCACCUUCAUAUUUUUUUUUCUAUGCAUUAACUUAUUUUUUUAGAAUUUUUUUAUAUUUAUUGACGGCAUCAUCGCGAUGCACCUGCAUCCGGGCCGCAUCGGCCCCCCACCGCAUCCCACAUUUUAAAACACUGGUUUAGCCCUGUAUGACAUAAAAGGUCGGGUGUAUUUGUCUAACCUCGUAUGACGUUAAAGGUCAGAUGUAUCCGUCUAACUCCGUAUGGCGUUAAAGGUCGGGUGUAUCUAUCGAACCUCGUAUGAUGUUGAAGGUCGGGUGUAUCCGUCUAACCCCAUAUGAUGUUAAAGGUCAGGUAUAUUUAGAAAACGUCUAGUCUCGUAUGACAUAAAUGGUCGGGUGUAUUUGUCUAACCCCGUAUGACGUUAAAGGUCGAGUGUAUUUAAAAAAUGUCUAGCCCCAGCCCCGUAUGACAUAAAAGGUCAGGUGUAUCCGUCUAACCCCGUAUGACGUUAAAGGUUGGGUGUAUUCAAAAAAUGUCUAGCCCCAUAUCACAUAAAAGGUCGGGUAUAUCCGUCCAACCCCAUACGAUGUAAAAGGUCGGGUGUAUCUGUCUAUCGCUGCAUGACGUUAAACUGCUUAGAGGGCUUUAUGGUUACAGGAGCUAAAACUGCUAACUAAAAAUUUGUUUUUGAAAAUAUCUUUCUCAUUUCAAAAUUUUCAUUAUAUGUCUUGUGUUUUAAAAAAACUUAAUUUCUUUGUUAAAAUCGUGACCUGUCCAAAGCUCCAGGUUCUAUUUCAAAAUUCCACCCUUGUUUUCAAAAUUUCUAAGUAGAGUUUUAAUAACAAAUGUGCUUGGACACUCGUAUAUAAUGAUUACGGCAUUGCCGCCUCAUCUCUCUCUUCAGAAUUGACCAGGCAAACCUUUUUCCUAAACAAGUAAAACCUAUAGAAGACCUUAGAAAACUCGUGACGUUAAGUGGCAUGGACAAAAAAUCCAACUCGAGUUUCAAGCUUGUGUAACUCACUAAUAUCUCACGCUGAAAACCCUAGGAUGAAAAUUCCUUAGGUGGGUGAGCAGGGAAUGCAAUAUCUUAAAAGGAUAGUUGGUGUGCUCUCUGACUACGAAACGUUAGGAUGAAAUUUAAAAUGCGUGCAUUAUCUUUGCCACUCAUCCGCUCUUUGAAGGACAAGGAGCGCCAAAGAGUGUCUACUUCUUUACCACUCACCUAUCUCUCGAAGGACAGGGAGUGUUAAAGAGGGGCAAUUGUAGACCCCCAUUUUUAAAGCUGGCAAAUUCUGUGAUAUUCUUGAACCCUUAGGACCACAUUAUUCUAGAAAACCUCCGAACCAUAGACCAUCAUAGUCCGUGAUCCGUAUCAUGUGAUCCAAAAUCUUGCAGGACCACUGUUUUAGUAAUAAAUCAAGUAAAAAUAGCAAAACAACUUAUUUUUACUUGAUUUUCGGUAGGCAAUAUCACAAAAUCGCGUGAAUUGCCCAGAAUCCAAAACUGUUAAUUCUAGUCAGAUUUGGGCUCCCUUUGACCUCCAAAAUAGAAAUUUGGUUGGCAAAUCUGCUUGAAAUUGAUAUUUAUCCAUUCUUGUAUGAUUUGAGAGGGUGAGACUUUGUUAACCCGUAGGCUAGGAAAUAUGAGAGAUAGAGAGAGCCCGGAGAGAAAACCUGUGAAGCUUUAGUCCCCCUUUUGAAACCAACUUUUAGCCUAGAUUAGCAAAACUCUAGUUCAACCAAGCCAAGGUUUGGUCAAGUUUGAAGAGAAAACAACAUAGGACAUACGUACACAGCUGUGGUUCUGAUAUGGCCGAGGCCACGAAGCCUCGGGUGUCCCAGACCAACUGGCCUGGCCAGGUAAUUUCCUCAUCAUGUUUGUUUUUCUUAUUUUUCAUUUAUUUUAUUAGAUUUAUGAUUUUAUUUAUUUUUCUUUAAUCUUUUGAUCUUUUUGGAUCGAUGUUGGCUCUGUCACUGAUCUAAGAGCGGAUCUAUUUUUAUUCAAUUUGUUUAAUAGUUGACUUAGCGAUGAUGCAAAAUUUGUUGAGCUUUGUUCCUUCACAAUAUGUUUAUGCUUGCUUCCAUCAUACCUAUCAUGUGCUUCAAUGGCUCCAUUGAUAUAAUGAUAAUGGCUUUAACGUUCAUUUUUCAUGUAGUUUAUUUGGUUUACAAGAAAAAUGUUAUUUAUGUAUGCUGAGAUGACAAAAUGCACAAUUGUUUUUUUUCCCAUAUUUUAUCUACUGUUUCUAUUGCUUGGAUUUCUACUUCUUUGUUUGGGUGAUUUAUCGUGGGAUUGGAUGUUCCACACUGGAUCUCAUCACGGUGGUUUAGAUUUCUUCUUCUUCGUCUUUCUUUUGGUUGGAAUUUAGUGUCGAUGUACGAGUUAGCUGUUCGCUUCCUUGAAUUGUGGGCUUGGAACUGGGUACCUUUUGCAGAUGCUUAGAACUUAAGCAUAAAUUGGGAAAUGACCAUAUCACAGGACUAUAGGCGUCCAUAUAUCUAAAUAUGUGGAGCUAUUUUUUGACCUCACCUCUAAAUUUGAAUCUUCAAUUUAUUUUACAUUUAAUUUUGGAAUAUGGCACAUUCCUCGAUAAUCUUGUGGACUUUAUUUUCCAUCUUAUUUUUUCUUCAUUUACAUAUCUCUUGUAGAAAGCUCGAGCAAUUAUGUUGGAGUUGCAAUAUGUUGCAAUUUCUCAAAUAAAUUGUGAUAUGACCACCACCCAAAGAGAUAAUAAUCAAUAAUUUAAUAAACUACUUAUUUAUUAGUUAUUUUUUGUUCGAUUUCUCCAAGAUGUACAUUGAUCUUACCAUCAAAAGAAAAACGAUAUGUAUUGAUCUUCAAAGAAUUCAUUUUGGUACAACAUAUUUAGUUUAUUGAUGUCUACAUAUAUAGGAAGGCUUGCUCUUGGAAGUUAUAAAGGGCAUGUGUUCAAUCACUUUCAUAAAGCCCUUGUUGUCCACACCCUUCGAUUCAUAUGCAUUACGUGGUCUUAGGAAGUUAUAAAGGGUGAUUUUUUUUUCCCUUUUCUAUAUUGAACUUGUUAUUAUUGUGGUGGUAUGGAGUAUGACACAGAUACGUCUUUUGAACUAUACAUGUUUUUCUAGUUGAAUUGAUCGAGUUUGCCAAUUGUAUCUAAAGUCUAAAUGUUUCUAUUACACCUCAUUAUGUCAUUCUCAUUCCAUGCUGCUGAUCCAGAAAGAAUCAUCAAAAAUGCUCUAAGAUUUCCUCCUAACCAUUAAGAAUCAUUCCUUAUAGUAUGGUGCCAGUGCGAAAGAAAUUGAUAGUGCUAUCCAGGUAAGAAGUGGGACAUAAUUCACGCACUUGUUCAGAGAAGAAGCCACGGAAGCUUGUUACAUGUUAUAUGUGCAACAAAGUGGGACAUAAUUCACGCAGUUGUUCAUUUUAAAAAAGUAGUGAUUCACACCUUGCAGGGGUAAAAUAUUGAUUAUGUUGUAAAUAUUGAUUACCUCAUACUCUCUUUAUCUACUUUUUUUUUUACUCUCACUACUUGAAUGACAAGUUAUUUUGUUUUUUAACUUGCUUUACAGAUUUCAAUGGUAGAUGCCAUGACCACGGGUCAGUCCUUGAAUGCUAUCAUUCAAGAUUAUAGUGGUACCUUUUAGGUAAACUUUUACUAUUAUGAUACUCUUCCCAAUGACAUGCAUGCAAGAGUUAAAUAUAUU
rnacentral:lncRNA from 1 species